rnacentral:rRNA from 1 species
AACGCUGGCGGCGUGCCUAAUACAUGCAAGUCGAACGCUUUUUCUUUCACCGGAGCUUGCUCCACCGAAAGAAAAGGAGUGGCGAACGGGUGAGUAACACGUGGGUAACCUGCCCAUCAGAAGGGGAUAACACUUGGAAACAGGUGCUAAUACCGUAUAACAAUCGAAACCGCAUGGUUUCGGUUUGAAAGGCGCUUUUGCGUCACUGAUGGAUGGACCCGCGGUGCAUUAGCUAGUUGGUGAGGUAACGGCUCACCAAGGCAACGAUGCAUAGCCGACCUGAGAGGGUGAUCGGCCACAUUGGGACUGAGACACGGCCCAAACUCCUACGGGAGGCAGCAGUAGGGAAUCUUCGGCAAUGGACGCAAGUCUGACCGAGCAACGCCGCGUGAGUGAAGAAGGUUUUCGGAUCGUAAAACUCUGUUGUUAGAGAAGAACAAGGAUGAGAGUAAAAUGUUCAUCCCUUGACGGUAUCUAACCAGAAAGCCACGGCUAACUACGUGCCAGCAGCCGCGGUAAUACGUAGGUGGCAAGCGUUGUCCGGAUUUAUUGGGCGUAAAGCGAGCGCAGGCGGUUUCUUAAGUCUGAUGUGAAAGCCCCCGGCUCAACCGGGGAGGGUCAUUGGAAACUGGGGAACUUGAGUGCAGAAGAGGAGAGUGGAAUUCCAUGUGUAGCGGUGAAAUGCGUAGAUAUAUGGAGGAACACCAGUGGCGAAGGCGGCUCUCUGGUCUGUAACUGACGCUGAGGCUCGAAAGCGUGGGGAGCAAACAGG